rnacentral:tRNA from 1 species
GCUCCCUUCGUCUAGUGGUUAGGACGCCGGCCUCUCACGCCGGUAACAGGGGUUCGAACCCCCUAGGGAGCGCCA